CCUUUAAUUUCAGUAAUUCUGUUGGUGACCAUGGAGUGGUACGCACAAUAGUGUGGACCUCCUCAUCACUAUCAACAGCAGUCUCAGUUUUAAUCAGAGGUCUCAGGUGAACCAGCUCCUCUU